AUUGAACGCUGGCGGCAUGCUUUACACAUGCAAGUCGAACGGUAACAGGGAGCUUGCUCCGCUGACGAGUGGCGAACGGGUGAGUAAUGCGUCGGAACGUGCCGAGUAGUGGGGGAUAACGCAUCGAAAGGUGUGCUAAUACCGCAUACGUACUGAGGUAGAAAGUGGGGGACCUUCGGGCCUCACGCUAUUCGAGCGGCCGACGUCUGAUUAGCUAGUUGGUGAGGUAAAGGCUCACCAAGGCGAAGAUCAGUAGCGGGUCUGAGAGGAUGAUCCGGCACACUGGGACUGAGACACGGCCCAGACUCCUACGGGAGGCAGCAGUGGGGAAUUUUGGACAAUGGGCGCAAGCCUGAUCCAGCCAUGCCGCGUGUCUGAAGAAGGCCUUCGGGUUGUAAAGGGCUUUUGUCCGGGAGCAAAUGCCUGGUGUUAAUAGCACUGGGAGCUGAGAGUACCGGAAGAAUAAGCACCGGCUAACUACGUGCCAGCCGCCGCGGUAAUAC
rnacentral:rRNA from 1 species